GCCUGGGUGGCUCAGUCGGUUAAGCAUCCGACUUCAACUCAGGUCAUGAUCUUGCGGUUCGCGAGUUCGAACCCUGCAUCAGGCU
rnacentral:tRNA from 1 species